rnacentral:rRNA from 1 species
UACGUAGGGGGCUAGCGUUGUCCGGAUUUAUUGGGCGUAAAGAGCGUGUAGGCGGCCAGGUAGGUCUGCUGUGAAAACUCGAGGCUCAACCUCGAGACGUCGGCGGAAACCAUCUGGCUAGAGUCCGGAAGAGGAGAGUGGAAUUCCCAGUGUAGCGGUGAAAUGCGUAGAUAUUGGGAGGAACACCAGUGGCGAAGGCGGCUCACUGGACCGGUACUGACGCUGAUGCGCGAAAGCGUGGGGAGCAAACAGG